rnacentral:rRNA from 1 species
CCUACGGGUGGCUGCAGUGGGGAAUAUUGCACAAUGGGGGAAACCCUGAUGCAGCGACGCCGCGUGAGUGAAGAAGUAUUUCGGUACGUAAAGCUCUAUCAGCAGGGAAGAAAAUGACGGUACCUGACUAAGAAGCCCCGGCUAACUACGUGCCAGCAGCCGCGGUAAUACGAAGGAUGCGAGCGUUAUCCGGAUUUAUUGGGUUUAAAGGGUGCGUAGGCGGGGCGACAGGUCGGCGGUCAAAUGUCGGGGCUCAACCCCGGCCUGCCGUCGAAACUGCCGUCCUUGAGUGGGCGAAAGGCGCACGGAAUGCGUGGUGUAGCGGUGAAAUGCAUAGAUCUCACGCAGAACCCCGAUUGCGAAGGCAGCGCGCCGGCGCCCGACUGACGCUGAGGCACGAAAGCGUGGGUAUCGAACAGGAUUAGAUACCCGAGUAGUC